rfam:Halorubrum saccharovorum strain H3 NODE_11, whole genome shotgun sequence.
GGAUCGAUAGCGCAACGGGAGCGCACCGCGCUGAAGAGGCGGAGGUCCCGGUUCGAGUCCGGGUCGAUCCA